rnacentral:rRNA from 1 species
UACAGGGGUGGCAAGCGUUGUCCGGAAUUACUGGGUGUAAAGGGUGCGUAGGCGGGUUAGUAAGUCAGUGGUCAAAUCCUAUAGCUUAACUAUAGACUAUCCAUUGAUACUGCUAAUCUUGAGUGCGAGAGAGAUGAGUGGAAUUCCAAGUGUAGCGGUGAAAUGCGUAGAGAUUUGGAAGAACACCAGUUGCGAAGGCGGCUCAUUGGCUCGUUACUGACGCUGAGGCACGAAAGCAUGGGGAGCAAACAGG